UAUGGCCAAAUCAUCUUGAAAUACAGGUUCCCAUAUAAUCACCAAAGUUAAACAAUGUUGAACCUGGUCAGUACCUAGAUGGGUGACUAUUUAGGAACAGCAGGUGCUGUAA